CAUGAAGCUGGAAUCGCUAGUAAUCGUGGAUCAGAAUGCCGCGGUGAAUACGUUCCCGGGUCUUGUACACACCGCCCGUCACACCAUGGGAGCCGGUAACGCCCGAAGUCAGUGACCCAACCGAGAGGAGGGAGCUGCCGAAGGCGGGACAGGUAACUGGGGUGAAGUCGUAACAAGGUACC
rnacentral:rRNA from 1 species